AGCAGCCGCGGUAAUUCCAGCUCCAAUAGCGUAUAUUAAAGUUGCUGCAGUUAAAAGGCUCGUAGUUGAAUUUCGGGACCAUCAUGUCGGUCGUGCCUCGGCACGUACUGGCAUUGUUGGUUUCUCCCUUCUGACGAACCAUGAUGUCAUUAAUUUGGUGUCUUGGGGAAUCAGGACUGUUACUUUGAAAAAAUUAGAGUGUUUAAAGCAGGCUCACGCUUGAAUACAUUAGCAUGGAAUAAUGAAAUAGGACGUUUGAUUCUAUUUUGUUGGUUUCUAGGAUCGACGUAAUGAUUAAUAGGGAUAGUUGGGGGCAUUAGUAUUCAAUUGUCAGAGGUGAAAUUCUUGGAUUUAUUGAAGACUAACUACUGCGAAAGCAUUUGCCAAGGAUGUUUUCAUUAAUCAAGAACGAAAGUUAGGGGAUCGAAGACGAUCAGAUACCGUCGUAGUCUUAACCAUAAACUAUGCCGACUAGGGAUCGGAUGAUGUUAAUUUUUUAAUGACUCA
rnacentral:rRNA from 1 species